rnacentral:other from 1 species
UUAUCCCUGUCAUAUUAGUGUUUGAUUAAUAUAAAAGAACCAACACUAAAAAAUAGGGAGCUUGGCUCUGAGCGUUGAUUACAUGCCUCAUCUCGAAGUGGACGUAAAAGGCGUUUAGGCAGGCACCCAUCCUUGGUAAGCAAGGUUCUUUUAAUAUUCAUCACUAAUAAUGCAGGGAUUUU